rnacentral:rRNA from 1 species
GAUGAACGCUGGCGGCGUGCCUAAUACACGCAAGUCGAGCGAACGGACGAGAAGCUUGCUUCUCUGAUGUUAGCGGCGGACGGGUGAGUAACACGUGGAUAACCUACCUAUAAGACUGGGAUAACUUCGGGAAACCGGAGCUAAUACCGGAUGAUAUUUUGAACCGCAUGGUUCAAAAGUGAAAGACGGUCUUGCUGUCACUUAUAGAUGGAUCCGCGCUGCAUUAGCUAGUUGGUAAGGUAACGGCUUACCAAGGCAACGAUGCAUAGCCGACCUGAGAGGGUGAUCGGCCACACUGGAACUGAGACACGGUCCAGACUCCUACGGGAGGCAGCAGUAGGGAAUCUUCCGCAAUGGGCGAAAGCCUGACGGAGCAACGCCGCGUGAGUGAUGAAGGUCUUCGGAUCGUAAAACUCUGUUAUUAGGGAAGAACAUAUGUGUAAGUAACUGUGCACAUCUUGACGGUACCUAAUCAGAAAGCCACGGCUAACUACGUG